AAGCAACCGUGGAGGAAUCGGUGUACCUCCAGAAAAGAGUUGGGAAUCCUGGUGGGAGAAGGAACAACAGCAUCUCCUUUACUCUGGGAAACGCGGCAUCAUUGUUGAGAUAUUGUUGUCAUUGCGCUUCUUCAUGUAUCAAUAUGGUCUCGUUUAUCACUUGAGCUUUACCAAGAGUACCCAGAACUUUCUGGUACGUGCGUAUAAGUUAACAACAACAUAUUUUCUUUUCUUAAUUUUUCUUUUAAUUGUUUAAAACAUUCUUCUUAACUAAGCUUAAUUAAUUUUUUAACUUAUUAACUACAGGUUUAUGGUGCUUCAUGGGUUGUGAUCAUUUUCGUAUUGUUGCUGGUGAAGGUAAUGAGAAAUUUAAAUAAAACAAGAUUAACUAACUCCAGUCGAUUAAUUAUCUAGAAAAUUAAAGCAUUGGCUGUGGCGGAUUUCUUAUUUAUGAUCUGGUUUCUAUUUCAACUUUGACAGGGAAUGUCUGUUGGAAGGCGACGAUUCAGUGCAAAUUUCCAGCUUUUGUUUAGAAUGAUUAAGGGUUUGGUAUUCAUUUCAUUUAUUACUAUCUUCAUCAUUUUGAUAGCAAUCCCUCAUAUGACCUUCAAAGAUAUCUUGCUGUGUAUACUCGCCUUCAUGCCAACAGGAUGGGGACUACUACUGGUCAGUGAGAGUGAAUCAUUUAAUUAAUUAAACCACCGGCACAUCUUUUUCACAACAUAUAUAGUCUUUGUUAUGCGAACGUACUUUUUUUUUUUCAUGCAAACACGUUGUUAAGUCAUAUAAUUUAGUAGAGUCAGUGUGAAUAUACUAUUAUUCUAGUAAAUUAAGCACGACUCUCUUAAAUCAAAUGACUUAAUAAUAUGUCUACAUUUGUUAAAAAAAAGGUGUUUUUGCACCUGAGAAUUUAUAUAUAUAUAGAGAGUUUAUUAUUGAGGCUUUUGUAAUAAUUAAUUUUUUUUUUCUUUUUUGGAUGCAUG
rnacentral:lncRNA from 1 species